UGGGAGACCAGUCAGGUGUUGG
rnacentral:miRNA from 1 species